GACGAGCUCUCCAAACGUUAUUCGGUAUCACUGGGCUUAAAGAGUUCGUAGGCGGUCUGGUAGGUGAGGUGUGAAAUCCCCCGGCUCAACUGGGGAACUGCACAGGAAACUAGCGGGCUUGAGUUCGGGAGAGGGAAGCGGAAUUCCGGGUGUAGCGGUGAAAUGCGUAGAUAUCCGGAGGAACACCGGUGGCGAAGGCGGCUUCCUGGACCGACACUGACGCUGAGGCGCGAAAGCUAGGGGAGCAAACGGG
rnacentral:rRNA from 1 species